rnacentral:rRNA from 1 species
GAUGAACGCUAGCGGUGUGCUUAACGCAUGCAAGUCGAACGAGAAGCUUAAAUUCGUUUAAGUGGAAAGUGGCGAACGGGUGAGUAACACGUUGGUGACCUGCCUCUGAGAGGGGGACAACCACUGGAAACGGUGGCUAAUACCCCAGAUGUUGCACUUGUUAGAGAGGUGUAACUAAAGUUCCGGCGCUCAGAGAGGGGCCAGCGUCCCAUCAGCUAGUUGGUGAGGUAACGGCUCACCAAGGCGAAGACGGGUAGGGGACGUGAGAGCGUGAUCCCCCACACUGGUACUGAUACACGGACCAGAUACCUACGGGUAGCAGCAGCGAGGAAUCUUGCGCAAUGGGCGAAAGCCUGACGCAGCAACACCGCGUGGAGGAUGAAGGCCUUCGGGUUGUAAACUCCUUUUCUGGGGGAAUAGAAAGGAAGGUACCCCAGGAAUAAGCUCCGGCUAACUACG